rnacentral:rRNA from 1 species
GUCAAAGGACACAAGGCGUAGGGUGGAUACCUAGGCACCUAGAGACGAAGAAGGGCGUGGUACCGACGAAAUGCUCCGGGGAGCUGGAAACAAGCGAUAAUCCGGAGAUUCCCGAAUAGGGCAACCUCUUGAACUACCUGCUGAAUUCAUAGGCAGGAAAGAGACAACCCAGUGAACUGAAACAUCUUAGUAGCUGGAGGAGAAGAAAGCAAAAGCGAUUCCCUGAGUAGCGGCGAGCGAAAAGGGACAAGCCUAAACCAGUUUUCGAACUGGGGUCGUGGGAAAACAAAAAAAAAUAAUCGAUUGAAACGAAGCAGCUGAAUCCUGCACCAAAGAUGGUGAAAGUCCAGUAGUUAAAAAUUGAAAUCAACUUGUUUAUCCCGAGUAGCAUGGGGCACGUGAAAUCCCGUGUGAAUCAGCGAGGACCACCUCGUAAGGCUAAAUACUCCUAGGUGACCGAUAGUGAAAAAGUACCGUGAGGGAAAGGUGAAAAGAACCCCUGUAGGGGAGUGAAAAAGAACAUGAAACCCUACGCUCUCAAACAGUGGGAGGAUAACAAUAUCUGACCGCGUGCCUGUUGAAGAAUGAGCCGGCGACUUAGAAGAAGUGGCUUGGUUAAGGAUAACUAUCCGGAGCCAGAGCGAAAGCAAGUCUGAAUAGGGCGCUUAAAGGUCACUUUUUCUAGACCCGAACCCGGGUGAUCUAACCAUGACCAGGAUGAAGCUUGGGUAACACCACGUGAAGGUCCGAACCGACCGAUGUUGAAAAAUCGGCGGAUGAGUUGUGGUUAGCGGUGAAAUACCAAUCGAACUCGGAGCUAGCUGGUUCUCCCCGAAAUGCGUUGAGGCGCAGCGGUUUAUGAGGCUGUCUAGGGGUAAAGCACUGUUUCGGUGCGGGCUGCGAAAGCGGUACCAAAUCGUGGCAAACUCUGAAUACUAGAUAUGCUAUUCAUGAGCCAGUGAGACGGUGGGGGAUAAGCUUCAUCGUCAAGAGGGAAACAGCCCAGAUCACCAGCUAAGGCCCCAAAAUGGUCGUUAAGUGGCAAAGGAGGUGAGAAUGCUGAAACAACCAGGAGGUUUGCUUAGAAGCAGCCACCCUUUAAAGAGUGCGUAAUAGCUCACUGGUGGAGCGUUCUUGCGCCGAAAAUGUCCGGGACUAAACGACCUGCCGAAGCUGUGGGAUACUUAAUUCACUUGGUUCCUUUUCAAAAAUUUCAUUUGGUCCAAAAACUGGGUUUUUGAAAAGAAAAGGAAAAGGAACAAAAAUGAAAAAAAAUAAAGUAUCGGUAGGGGAGCGUUCUGCUGUAGGGUGAAGCAUUGAUGUAAGUUAAUGUGGACGAAGCGGAAGUGAGAAUGUCGGCUUGAGUAACGCAAACAUUGGUGAGAAUCCAAUGCCCCGUAAACCUAAGGAUUCCUCCACUAGGUUCGUCCAUGGAGGGUGAGUCAGGACCUAAGGCCAGGCCGAAAGGCGUAGCCGAUGGAAAACAGGUUAAUAUUCCUGUACUACUUUUUGUUGGUAUCGAGGGACGGAGCAGGCAGAGGUAGGCCGGAUUUGGAUUUCGGUGGAAACUUUCAAGGCGUUGAGAGAUAGAAGAAAAACUAUCUUAAGCUAAGAAGUGAUACGUUUCAAAAACUUUGUUUUUGAAAUCUACUGGCUGUCAUACUUCCAAGAAAAGCUCGCACUACUCACAAGACAAAAAGUACCUGUACCGAAAACCGACACAGGUAGGUUGGUAGAGAAUACCAAGGGGCGCGAGACAACUCUCUCUAAGGAACUCGGCAAAAUGACCCCGUAACUUCGGGAGAAGGGGUGCCAAGUAAAAACUUGGCCGCAGUGACCAGGCCCAGGCGACUGUUUACCAAAAACACAGGUCUCCGCAAAGUCGUAAGACAACAUAUGGGGGCUGACGCCUGCCCAGUGCCGGAAGGUUAAGGAAGUUGGUUAUUCUUGAUAAAGAAAAAGCUAACGACCGAAGCCCCGGUGAACGGCGGCCGUAACUAUAACGGUCCUAAGGUAGCGAAAUUCCUUGUCGGGUAAGUUCCGACCCGCACGAAAGGCGUAACGAUCUGGGCGCUGUCUCGGAGAGAGACUCGGUGAAAUAGACAUGUCUGUGAAGAUGCGGACUACCUGCACCUGGACAGAAAGACCCUAUGAAGCUUGACUGUAGCCUGAAAUUGGGUUCGGGUUCUUCUUGCGCAGACUAGGUGGGAGGCGUUGAAAGUUUCUUCUUGGGGAAACUGGAGCCAACAGUGAGAGACCACUCUGGAGGAGCUAGAAUUCUAAUGGUGUUCCUUGAAGCAGGACACUUGACAGUUUCAGGUGGGCAGUUUGACUGGGGCGGUCGCCUCCUAAAAGGUAACGGAGGCGUGCAAAGGUUCCCUCAGGCUGGACGGAAAUCAGCCGUAGAGUGUAAAGGCAGAAGGGAGCUUGACUGCAAGACCUACAAGUCGAGCAGGGGCGAAAGCCGGCCUUAGUGAUCCGACGGUUCCGUGUGGAAGGGCCGUCGCUCAACGGAUAAAAGUUACUCUAGGGAUAACAGGCUGAUCUUCCCCAAGAGUUCACAUCGACGGGAAGGUUUGGCACCUCGAUGUCGGCUCAUCGCAACCUGGGGCGGUAGUACGUCCCAAGGGUUGGGCUGUUCGCCCAUGAAAGCGGUACGUGAGCUGGGUUCAGAACGUCGUGAGACAGUUCGGUCCAUAUCCGGUGUAGGCGUUAGAGUAUUGAGGGCACUCAUCCAUAGUACGAGAGGACCUGGAUGAACACACCUCUGGUGUAUCGGUUAUUCUGCCAAGGGUAAACGCCGAGUAGCCAAGUGUGGAAAUGAUAACCGCUGAAGCAUCUAAGUGGGAAGCUUAGCCCAAGAUGAGUACUCUCCAUUAAGCCACGGGAAGACAACCCGGUUGAUAGGCACCAGGUGUACGCACGGUAACGUGUUUAGCCGAGGUGUACUAAUAGGCUGAUCGAAUUUGAC